rnacentral:rRNA from 1 species
AUACGUAGGGGGCUAGCGUUUAUCCGGAUUUACUGGGCGUAAAGGGUGCGUAGGUGGUCUCUUAAGUCAGGAGUGAAAGGCUACGGCUUAACCGUAGUAAGCUCUUGAAACUGGGAGACUUGAGUGCAGGAGAGGAAAGUGGAAUUCCUAGUGUAGCGGUGAAAUGCGUAGAUAUUAGGAGGAACACCAGUAGCGAAGGCGGCUUUCUGGACUGUAACUGACGCUGAGGCACGAAAGCGGUGGGGAUC